rnacentral:rRNA from 1 species
GGCGGCACGCCUAACACAUGCAAGUCGAGCGGGGUAGCAAUACCUAGCGGCAGACGGGUGCGUAACAUGUGGGAAUCUGCCUUUUGGUUCGGAACAACAUGGGGAAACCUGUGCUAAUACCGGAUAAGUCCUAACGGAGAAAGUUUUAAUGCCAAAAGAUGAGCCCGCAUUUGAUUAGCUUGUUGGUGAGGUAAAAGCUCACCAAGGCUACAAUCAAUAGCUGAUUUGAGAGGAUGAUCAGCCACACUGGGACUGAGAUACGGCCCAGACUCCUACGGGAGGCAGCAGUGGGGAAUCUUGCACAAUGGGCGAAAGCCUGAUGCAGCGAUGCCGCGUGAGUGAAGAAGGCCUUUGGGUUGUAAAGCUCUUUUGUCGGGAAAGAUAAUGACUGUACCCGAAGAAUAAGGUCCGGCUAACUUCGUGCCAGCAGCCGCGGUAAUACGAAGGGACCUAGCGUAGUUCGGAAUUACUGGGCGUAAAGAGUAUGUAGGCGGCUAGAUAAGUUAAUUGUGAAAGCCCAAAGCUUAACUUUGGAACUGCAAUUAAAACUAUUUAGCUGGAGUAUGAUAGAGGAAAGCGGAAUACAUAGUGUAGAGGUGAAAUUCGUAGAUAUUAUGUAGAACACCAGUUGCGAAGGCGGCUUUCUGGAUCAUUACUGACGCUGAGAUACGAAAGUAUGGGUAGCGAAGAGGAUUAGAUACCCUCGUAGUCCAUACCAUAAACGAUGAUUAUUAA